rnacentral:rRNA from 1 species
UCCUGGCUCAGGAUGAACGCUGGCGGCGUGCUUAACACAUGCAAGUCGAACGAAGAUGCCGGAGUGCUUGCACUUUGGCAGACUGAGUGGCGGACGGGUGAGUAACGCGUGGGUAACCUGCCUUAUACAGGGGGAUAACAGUUGGAAACGACUGCUAAUACCGCAUAAGCGCACGGUAUCGCAUGAUACAGUGUGAAAAACUCCGGUGGUAUAAGAUGGACCCGCGUCUGAUUAGCUUGUUGGUGAGGUAACGGCCCACCAAGGCGACGAUCAGUAGCCGGCCUGAGAGGGUGAACGGCCACAUUGGGACUGAGACACGGGCCCAAACUCCUACGGGAGGCAGCAGUGGGGAAUAUUGCACAAUGGGGGAAACCCUGAUGCAGCGACGCCGCGUGAGUGAUGAAGUAUUUCGGUAUGUAAAACUCUAUCAGCAGGGAAGAUAAUGACGGUACCUGACUAAGAAGCACCGGCUAAAUACGUG